GCUUUUGGUGUCACGCUUGUUGCCCAGCAGCUUCAGCAUCUUCAUGGUCUUGAGCCUGCCUUUCUUCUUACCCUCAGACUCAGCCUCUCUUUGGAACUCUGCAGCAAAGAGCAAAGACCCUGGUACGUUACGCUCCUGAUCUACAGGUAGGGAACUGAAGCUUUGGAAAAUGAAGCCUUUGGCCAGCAAUGCCCAGAGAAGUCUCUAAGAUGGCUCACCUGGCUUGUUGAGAAGACACCGAAGCUCAAACUCCACAUCAGCCUGGCGCUGCUCCAGGUUCUGCUGCUUAACACUGAAGCGUGUGAUGAAGAGGAAUAAACACUUCUGCCAAGUGCCCACCACCCCACCCCACCCCCCACCCCCACCCCCGUGCUGUGUCAUGGCAGAGGGUGAAAGCUCCCAGCCCUCCCUCCACAGACCCCGGCAGGGAGCAGGCAGGGCAGCCCGGACUCACACAUAGA